GCUGAUAUGGCUCAGGUGGUAGAGCACAUCCUUGGUAAGGAUGAGGUCGGCGGUUCAAGUCCGCCUAUCAGCUCCA
rnacentral:tRNA from 1 species